rnacentral:rRNA from 1 species
CCUACGGGAGGCAGCAGUGGGGAAUCUUGCGCAAUGGGCGAAAGCCUGACGCAGCAACGCCGCGUGCGGGAAGAAGGCUUUCGGGCUGUAAACCGCUUUCAGCAGGAACGAAAAUGACGGUACCUGCAGAAGAAGGAGCGGCCAACUAUGUGCCAGCAGCCGCGGUGAUACAUAGGCUUCAAGCGUUGUCCGGAUUUAUUGGGCGUAAAGAGUUCGUAGGCGGUCGAGUAAGUCGGGUGUGAAAAUUCUGGGCUCAACCCAGAGACGCCACCCGAUACUGCUUAACUUGAGUUCGAUAGGGGAGUGGGGAAUUCCUAGUGUAGCGGUGAAAUGCGCAGAUAUUAGGAGGAACACCGGUGGCGAAGGCGCCACUCUGGAUCGAUACUGACGCUGAGGAACGAAAGCAUGGGUAGCAAACAGGAUUAGAUACCCUGGUAGUCCAUGCCGUAAACGGUGGGCACUAGGUGUGGGAUUCUAUUAACGAAUUCCGCGCCGUCGCUAACGCAUUAAGUGCCCCGCCUGGGGAGUCGGUCGCAAGCUAAAACUUAAAUGAAUUGACGG